rnacentral:rRNA from 1 species
GACGAACGCUGGCGGCGUGCUUAACACAUGCAAGUCGAACGGAAAGACCCUGCUUUUGUGGGGUGCUCGAGUGGCGAACGGGUGAGUAACACGUGAGUAACCUGCCCUUGACUUUGGGAUAACUUCAGGAAACUGGGGCUAAUACCGGAUAGGAGCUCCUGCUGCAUGGUGGUGGUUGGAAAGUUUCGGCGGUUGGGGAUCGACUCGCGGCUUAUCAGCUUGUUGGUGGGGUAGUGGCUUACCAAGGCUUUGACGGGUAGCCGGCCUGAGAGGGUGACCGGCCUCAUUGGGACUGAGAUACGGCCCAGACUCCUACGGGAGGCAGCAGUGGGGAAUAUUGCACAAUGGGCGGAAGCCUGAUGCAGCAACGCCGCGUGCGGGAUGACGGCUUUCGGGUUGUAAACCGCUUUCGCCUGUGACGAAGCGUGAGUGACGGUAAUGGGUAAAGAAGCACCGGCUAACUACGUG